ACUCCUACGGGAGGCAGCAGUGGGGAAUCUUGGACAAUGGGCGCAAGCCUGAUCCAGCCAUGCCGCGUGAGUGAAGAAGGCCCUAGGGUCGUAAAACUCUUUCGCCAGGGAUGAUAAUGACAGUACCUGGUAAAGAAACCCCGGCUAACUCCGUGCCAGCAGCCGCGGUAAUACGGAGGGGUUAGCGUUGUUCGGAAUUACUGGGCGUAAAGCGUACGUAGGCGGAUUAGUCAGUCAGAGGUGAAAUCCCAGGGGCUCAACCCUGGAACUGCCUUUUGAUACUGCUAGUCUUGAGUUCGAGAGAGGUGAGUGGAAUUCCAAGUGUAGAGGUGAAAUUCGUAGAUAUUUGGAGGAACACCAGUGGCGAAGGCGGCUCACUGGCUCGAUACUGACGCUGAGGUACGAAAGUGUGGGAGCAAACAGGAUUAGAUACCCUGGUAGGAUAGCG
rnacentral:rRNA from 1 species